rnacentral:rRNA from 1 species
UACGUAGGGGGCGAGCGUUGUCCGGAUUUAUUGGGCGUAAAGAGCGUGUAGGCGGCCAGGUAGGUCUGCUGUGAAAACUCGAGGCUCAACCUCGAGACGUCGGCGGAAACCAUCUGGCUAGAGUCCGGAAGAGGAGAGUGGAAUUCCAGGUGUAGCGGUGAAAUGCGUAGAUAUCUGGAGGAACACCGGUGGCGAAGGCGGCAUCCUGGACCGGCAUUGACGCUGAGGCGCGAAAGCUAGGGGAGCAAACGGG